rnacentral:misc_RNA from 1 species
GAUGAAGAUCGCAGCGAAAUGCGAUAAGUAAUGCGAAUUGCAGAAUUCCAGUGAAUCAUCGAAUCUUUGAACGCACAUUGCGCCCGCCAGUAUUCUGGCGGGCAUGCCUGUUCGAGCGUCAUUUCAACCCUCAAGCCCCCGGGCUUGGUGUUGGGGAUCGGCGUGCCCUCGCGGCGCGCCGUCCCCUAAAUCUAGUGGCGGUCUCGCUGUAGCUUCCUCUGCGUAGUAGCAACACUCGCACUGGAUCGCAGCGCGGCCACGCCGUUAAACCCCCCACUUCUGAAAGUUUGACCUCGGAUCAGGUAGGAAUACCCGCUGAACUUAAGCAUAUCAAUAAGCGGAGGA